GAGAUGAACAUUAGAGAUACUAAUGUUUCAUAAAAGAGAUUAGAUUAUUAAUCGAGGUUUCUUUUAUAACUUCUCACCAAUUCUUCAUAACGAUGAAGGUCCUUUUGGGAAGUAACGACUUGAGGGAGAGAGUGACGUUACUCAUUGAUACAGAGACACAACGAGGUUGAGCUGAUGUGAUGAUGGUGCUGCAAUGAGCGGAGUCUCCAGGGUUGUUAAUAAAUAGUUAACCUGUCUAGAAUAUGUCUUCAUACAUAUGUCUAGCUACUUUCCGCUGCAAGAUGUUGUUGAUGUUAUAGUAUGUUAUGUCAUACUUUGAGUCUUAAGAGAAUGGUUUCAUAUGAUGUAUAACUUGAUUAAUGAUAUUAAUUAAGUUUUAUGCUGUCUUUCAUAGACUGUUUUCAAUUGAGUAUUAAUGAAUAAAAAUGACGAGUUUUAUUAAGA